rnacentral:rRNA from 1 species
UAUGUAGGUGGCAAGCGUUAUCCGGAUUUAUUGGGCGUAAAGGGAACGCAGGCGGUCUUUUAUGUCUGAUGUGAAAGCCUUCGGCUUAACCGGAGUAGUGCAUUGGAAACUGGGAGACUUGAGUGCAGAAGAGGAGAGUGGAACUCCAUGUGUAGCGGUGAAAUGCGUAGAUAUAUGGAAGAACACCAGUGGCGAAAGCGGCUCUCUGGUCUGUAACUGACGCUGAGGUUCGAAAGCGUGGGUAGCAAACAGG